UAGAGGGAGAGAGAGAGAGAGACUGACCUCUUCUACUAUUUCCUUGGUAUCAAAUGUUGUGCAAGUUCCAAUGGUGAAGUCUCCACAGGCUCCAACAGGAUCACCAAAGCUUGCAAACUCAACCUUGACCAUCACUUUAUGGUUGGGACACUUCAAGAUAGCUUGUGGUCUAAUGACAUCCACCCCAGACUGAAUCAUGCUUUCCUGUCCCUUCCAUGAUUUCACAUGUGGUGGGUGAUACUCUGUGAUGUAGCUGCACACUGCGUCUCUGUGAACAGUCAAGAUUGUAAUCUUCUCUGGGUUUCCUCCAAUUUCCUCAAACACAACCAGAAGGUUUUCAGUUGGCUUCAAGAAGGCUCUUGGGAUAUGGUACCUGAAUCAAAAACCAUGGAUGAACAUAUUAGAAGGCACAGAGAUUAUGUGAAAACCAGCAGAACUAAAUACUCACUCAGACUGAGAAGGCUUCCCAAGAGGUGACAAGUAGGAGACCCAGUAACGCCCAAUGCUUUUACCAUUGACCCAGACCAUGCCUUUUGACAUACUUGUCAGAUUGAGAGCAACAGUUUACCUCCGGAGGAAGACGCGGGUAAUGGACUGAACCAGAGAAGAUAAGCUGUCUUCUUUCAUUGAUAAUCAAAGAUCUCCCAUCAUAAGUCACUCCCUUGAGCUUCUUGUCAUGGGAGACUGCUGAGACAACCAACAAGGAGAGUACUACAAGGAUAAGCGCCCGGGAGCGGCUUUGUAUCAACAUUGUAAAGAGGUCACUAUUGGAUCCCAAAACCAGAGAUGACUUCCUCAGAAUGAGGAAGAAAGCAAGAUGUUCCAAGAAUCUAUAAUGGCCCUUUUAUGUGGGUAAGCAAAAGGGUUUGUGUGUGAGAGUUAGGAUAAACAAAAUUGGCCAAAGAGGGAAAGGUUGGAAGCUGCUUCUGUUGUGUUGUGGUUGCUGUUUUAAGCUCUUGGCUUUACUUUCUUAUUACAGCUCUGUUUCUCA